GGUGAGAUGUCCGAGAGGUUUAAGGAGCACGCUUGGAAAGCGUGUAUAUAGUAAAAUGUAUCAAGGGUUCGAAUCCCUUUCUCACCA
rnacentral:tRNA from 1 species